rnacentral:rRNA from 1 species
GAUGAACGCUGGCGGCGUGCCUAAUACAUGCAAGUCGAGCGGAGUGGGGACGGGUGAGUAACACGUGGAUAACCUCCUAUAAGACUGGGAUAACUUCGGGAAACCGGAGCUAAACCGGAUACUUCCAGAUGGAGCCGUGCUGCAUUAGCUAGUUGGUACGGUAACGGCUUACCAAGGCGACGAUGCAUAGCCGACCUGAGAGGGUGAUCGGCCACACUGGAACUGAGACACGGUCCAGACUCCUACGGGAGGCAGCAGUAGGGAAUCUUCCGCAAUGGGCGAAGGCCUGACGGAGCAACGCCGCGUGAGUGAUGAAGGUCUUCGGAUCGUAAAACACUGUUAUUAGGGAAGCGGUACCUAAUCAGAAAGCCACGGCUAACUACGUGCCAGCAGCCGCGGUAAUUC